GUACUACUCCCUCCGUUCCAAAUUACUCGUCGCAGAAAUGGAUGUAUCUAGAACUAAAAUACAUCUAGAUACAUCCAUAUCUGCGACAAGUAAUUCAGAACGAAGGGAGUAUUAG
rnacentral:pre_miRNA from 1 species